rnacentral:rRNA from 1 species
GAUGAACGCUGGCGGCGUGCCUAAUACAUGCAAGUCGAGCGAGGUAGCUUGCUACCUAGCGGCGAACGGGUGAGUAACACGUAGGUAACCUGCCUUUGAGACUGGGAUACCCGAGCGAAAGUUCGGCUUAUACCGGAUAACAACGGAGACGGCAUCGUCUCCGCUUGAAAGGUGCGUUUGCACCACUCUUAGAUUGGACCUCUGCGGCACAUUAGCUAGUUGGUGAGAUAAUAGCCCACCAAGGCGAGGAUGUGUAGCCGACCUGAGAGGGUGACCGGCCACAAUGGGACUGAGACACGGCCCAUACUCCUACGGGAGGCAGCAGUAGGGAGUUUUCGGCAAUGGGCGAAAGCCUGACCGAGCAACGCCGCGUGAGUGAUGAAGGUCUUCGGAUUGUAAAGCUCUGUCAGGAGGGACGAAAUCUGCGAUCAGGAAAUGGGUUGCAGUUGACGGUACCUCGUAAGGGAAGUGACGGCUAACUACGUGCCAGCAGCCCGCGGUAUACGUAGUCACGAGCGUUAUCAGAUUAUGGGGCGUAAGAGUGAGCAGCGGCAUAGCCAGGUCUGAGUGAAAGCGUGGGUCGACCAUACAGCUUCGGUCACGUACUAGCUUAAUUGCGUUGAUAGUUAAACGAGACUCCCCUCCUGUGA